UUGGAGGGCAAGUCUGGUGCCAGCAGCCGCGGUAAUUCCAGCUCCAAUAGCGUAUAUUAAAGUUGUUGCAGUUAAAAAGCUCGUAGUUGAAUUUCGGGGCUAGUAGGUUGGUCAUGCCUCUGGUAUGUACUGGUCUCACUGAUUCCUCCUUCCUGAUGAACCUUAAUGCCAUUAAUUUGGUGUUUUGGGGAAUUUGGACUGUUACUUUGAAAAAAUUAGAGUGUUUAAAGCAAGCUAACGCUUGAAUACAUUAGCAUGGAAUAAUGAAAUAGGACGUUCGAUCCUAUUUUGUUGGUUUCUAGGAUUGACGUAAUGAUUAAUAGGGAUAGUUGGGGGCAUUAGUAUUCAAUUGUCAGAGGUGAAAUUCUUGGAUUUAUUGAAGACUAACUACUGCGAAAGCAUUUGCCAAGGAUGUUUUCAUUAAUCAAGAACGAAAGUUAGGGGAUCGAAGACGAUCAGAUACCGUCGUAGUCUUAACCAUAAACUAUGCCGACUAGGGAUCGGAUGAUGUUAAUUUUUUAAUGACUCAUUCGGCGCCUUACGGGAAAC
rnacentral:rRNA from 1 species